rnacentral:rRNA from 1 species
GGCAACAGCUCAAAUUUGAAAUCUGGCCUCUUCGGGGUCCGAGUUGUAAUUUGGAGAGGAUGUUUCGGGCACGGUCCGGGCUUAUAUUUCUUGGAACAGAAUGUCAUAGAGGGUGAGAAUCCCGUCUGGAGCUCGGACACGACCUAUGUGAAACUCCUUCGACGAGUCGAGUUGUUUGGGAAUGCAGCUCUAAAUGGGUGGUAAAUUUCAUCUAAAGCUAAAUAUUGGCCAGAGACCGAUAGCGCACAAGUAGAGUGAUCGAAAGAUGAAAAGCACUUUGAAAAGAGAGUUAAAAAGUACGUGAAAUUGUUGAAAGGGAAGCGCUGGCGACCAGACUUGCGCGUCGGGGUUCCCCCUUGCUUCUGCUUGGGUUACUCCCCGGCGUUCAGGCCAACAUCGGUUUCGGGGGUUGGUUAAAGGCCUUGGGAAUGUACCUACCCUCCGGGGUAGACUUAUAGCCCAGGGUGUCAUGCGACCUCCCGGGACCGAGGAACGCGCUUCGGCUCGGAUGUUGGCGUAAUGGUUGUCAGCGACCCGUCUUGAAACACGGACCAAGGAGUCUAACAUCUAUGCGAGUGUUAGGGUGUCAAACCCUUACGCGGAAUGAAAGUGAACGGAGGUAGGAAGCCUUAAGGCUGCACUAUCGACCGAUCCUGAAGUUUACGGACGGAUUUGAGUAAGAGCAUAGCUGUUGGGACCCGAAAGAUGGUGAAC